AUUCCAGCAUUCUCUAGUAAGCCCAACCCUUUCUUUCCCAAACCCGACCCAAAUCCUUUUAUCCCCAUCACCAGAGUAACGAAGAAACCCAGCACUCAAAGCAACGCGAUGCCAGCGCGUGAGCAACGAUCCAAACGGCAAGUUCAAUGCCUGUACCUUUCUUUUUAUGCCUUGUGCACUCACAGUCGCAUCUUCGUCCAGUCGUAGCAGGUCAGAACAGCCGCUUGCGUUGAUAGGUGCCACGUCGGGUACAAGGACGAUUAGAAUGAUCCUAGCCAUUUGCAUCACUGUCGAACCCGGAUUUUGUGGGAUUUUGGAUGAGUUCUCGUACAAAGGAAUAGCUGCCCUGUCCUUGAGAAAUUUUGAAAUCUUUGAAAUUGAAGUGGUUGUCCAUUUUUGCCCCAAUCUUCUUCAGAAAAUUCUCCCGCCUUCCCCUGAUUCGGAACCCUAGUUUUCCUCCUCUAAAUAUCCCUCUUCUUCAUUUGUUUUAGGGUUGGACAAUUCUAGAAGAGAAAAACAGUCAGUAAAGAAGGAAAAAUAUUAGCUUUUCAUUAAAAGAUCGUAGGCGAGAGAGUUCGUUUAAGAUUCUAGCUAUAUUUUCAGAGUAAAAUAUACUAACAGGGAAUUGAGUGAUUGUUUGCCAAGAUUAUUUGAGAUUCGAGAUAUCGGUUACGCUUCUUCCAUGUUACUUGUUGUUGCUGGUGCGGUGAAAUCGUUUUCCUCUUUUCGUUUUGUCUAGUUCGCUGCACCGGAAGAGGAGAAGGUUCAAACACAUUUAUCUUCCUGUAUCAACAUGAUUGUGUUCGCUGAUUUGUUGACCUUCCUCAGUCAAGGUCCCGAAACUUAUGGAAUGGAUGUAGGGAAAAGUUGAAGAUUUUUGGGUGAGAAACCCAAGUUUAUUUUCUAAAAUAGUGUAUUUAUUUCAUUUUUUUGGGGCUUAAGCUCUUGUCGUCCUUUCAUUUAUUAAUUGUUGUAUGAUUAGUAUAGGACAGGUACAAGGAGAAUGGGCCAAAGGCCCAAAAUAAAUGGGUCCAAAUACCGAUCCUGGCGGACAGAAUCUUGAUUUGGACCCAUCGCUCUCCCUUAUUUUAUUGCUUUGGACCCAUCUCUCUCCCUUAUUUUAUUGCUUAUUUACUUGUUA